rnacentral:lncRNA from 1 species
ACAAAUCCUAGAGCUGCAACUAUAUUUUAUAAAUGGCCCUCGUUUGGUUCCUGCAUAACAAAUAAUGUCUUCUCAUUGAUGGGGGCUGUUUCAUGCGCCUGCCUUUUUGGAGAAAGAAAACAACUUCUAGUCUCAGGCUUGUAUGAAUCCAGCACUGUUUUUCACAACUUGUUUUCGCCUCAGCGACUUGACAUGGCUCCCUAUCCAUCGCCGGUCCCCACGCUCCACGGUAACGAGAUUUUAAAAACUGUCCAUUUGGCUCCUUCCUGAGGUUUUACUCAUUUUGAAACUUUGCCACGCUGGCUGGCAUGUUUCACAUUUGCUUAUCUCUGAGCUUACUCCCAAGAGCUGCUGAACUUUCCCUUCCAUGUCACUAAGCUGGGACAGAGUGAAGACGGAGAGGAAAGAGUUACUGUCUCACAAGCUGUGACUUUGUCUGUCCAGAGUGGCCCUUGGAUGCAGCUCAUUAUUUGUGGAAAUAGUGUGUGCCACGGGCAAAAAUAACUUUUUAAAAAAAGCACAUCUCUGUACCCUCCUGAAGUCAUCUCAAAAUGAAGUCAAGAUUUCUCAUGAAACGGAGAGAGCUUUAUCAUGGCCCGAGUGGGUCCUUGAGUACUUGUCCCCGCCACAUUGUCUGCUCUGAGCAACCUGAGGGUCCAGACCAAGCUAAAAGAGGCUUCAUGAUGAGCCCUGGGACAGACAAGACUGGGAGCCUUGGUGAAAGGGAGGAGACCCUGUGUCCCCGGUUUUGCCAAGUCAGCCUGGCCCAUCCUCUGACAGCUAAAUCAACACUCUUUAUCCUGUGGCGACUGAUAACGCAUCCACCGCUUCCUGCCAAGGAGGAAAUCCUGAUGGGACAUUAUCAGGGGCGAGACAUCAUCCGUCAGCCGCCGUCACAGGAACCCAGGGCUCAUCCAGACCCCACGCCAAUCUUUCCGCCUUUAUCUGCGCUCCCCAAAUGCCUCAGCCUGUUUGCUGAUAGAGGAAUCCGGCAUCUCCUCUUCUCAAGGACCCGAAAAAGAUUCUUCGAUAGCAAGAAACUAAGCUCUCAGCUUCCCCAGCUCGCAAAGGAGAUGAUCUGA